rnacentral:rRNA from 1 species
GACGAACGCUGGCGGCGUGCCUAAUACAUGCAAGUAGAACGCUGAAGAGAGGAGCUUGCUCUUCUUGGAUGAGUUGCGAACGGGUGAGUAACGCGUAGGUAACCUGCCUUGUAGCGGGGGAUAACUAUUGGAAACGAUAGCUAAUACCGCAUAACAAUGGAUGACACAUGUCAUUUAUUUGAAAGGGGCAAUUGCUCCACUACAAGAUGGACCUGCGUUGUAUUAGCUAGUAGGUGAGGUAAUGGCUCACCUAGGCGACGAUACAUAGCCGACCUGAGAGGGUGAUCGGCCACACUGGGACUGAGACACGGCCCAGACUCCUACGGGAGGCAGCAGUAGGGAAUCUUCGGCAAUGGGGGCAACCCUGACCGAGCAACGCCGCGGGAGGGAAGAAGGUUUUCGGAUCGUAAAGCUCUGUUGUAAGUCAAGAACGGGUGUGAGAGUGGAAAGUUCACACUGUGACGGUAGCUUACCAGAAAGGGACGGCUAACUACGUG